UACGAAGGGUGCAAGCGUUACUCGGAAUUACUGGGCGUAAAGCGCGCGUAGGCGGCUUUGUAAGUUAGAGGUGAAAGCCCGGGGCUCAACCCCGGAAUUGCCUUUAAGACUGCAUCGCUUGAAUCCGGGAGAGGUGAGUGGAAUUCCGAGUGUAGAGGUGAAAUUCGUAGAUAUUCGGAAGAACACCAGUGGCGAAGGCGGCUCACUGGACCGGCAUUGACGCUGAGGUGCGAAAGCGUGGGGAGCAAACAGG
rnacentral:rRNA from 1 species